CGGAUGUUCUAUCCCCCUCAUAAGGUAUACCCCCACAAGGAACGGUCAGGAUGAGAUGCGUAUUGCUUGGCGAUUGGUGCAAAUACCUCCUACGAAGUUGACGUGGACAUCAUUAUACUCGCGGAUUUACAGAGUGGCAGCUCUUCCAUGACUGAACGGUCAACUCAAGAAAACCCGAUAGGCCAUUGCCUUUCACACCAGAACAGGUUUUAUCUAGGAGAGAACCUUGCGUUAGAAGGAAACUAGGCUUCUAGAGUCUUCUGCAUCUAGUGCCAGUAGGCAUAUCUGUAAAUGCAAGAUGGAGAAGGGAUUCGUGAUCUAGACCUGAUGGAAACUACAGGAUUUGGAGAUGGUGAGGGAAUGAGCGGAGUGCAAGAAGAGCCUGUAGAAAAUAGAGGAUUAGGCGGCAAAAAUUGGGGCGCCGAAGCUCGUGCAGAGCAUAUGGAAACCGGAGCAUUUGAAGCAUCGAAGGCUACAGGCCGCAUGGAGCUUAGCUGCCAGGCAUCAAUCGAAGAGGAGAAGAAAUCAACAAGCAAUGCAAUCUUAUGAAGUGGUGAGGCAGGAGGAUUUCCUCCACGCCACGUCGCGGGAAACGCGCCCGUGAAGGUCCAAAUGAACGAAUAGCCCCAGAAGAUGAGGAAGAUGCGGUGACAAAGGCUAUACGCCUUGCAGCUGAACGGCCAGACCAGCCAAUAUUUUUCCCUUACAAAGGAACUGUGUUCAACAGCUGCGAUGAGGCGAAAGAGUUCUACAACUUAUACUCCUGGGAGAAAGGUUUCGGAAUAAGAAUAGGGUGAGGAUGCAAGAACAGCAAAGAGUAUAGAACUAGGCAAGAUUUUGUCUGCUCGUGUGAGGGAACAGACAAGAGCACAACAGCAGCUUCAAUCAGGACUGAAUGCAAGGCAAUGAUCAGACUUCUCAGACAAAAUGAUCAUUCAUGGUACAUCAGCAGGGUGGUUGACACACACAACCACCCAUUUUCAGCAGGCUAUGGUGAAAACAAGCAAUGGAAAUCGCAUAGUGACAUAGAUCCACUAACAAAGGAUUUGGUUAAGAAGCUUAGGGAGAACAAUAUAAGUGUUGGGAGGAUCUGCAACAUCCUAGGUGUGUCGGAUGCAACCUCAAGCAAAACAAUGAGAAAGGAGUCUAUACGGUCCUUGUGUGCAAAACUGUCCCAAGAAAACAUGAAAGAUGAUAUUGGAAAGACAAUGGGACUUUUGGAGGAUAUGAAGAAGACUGACCCUGGGCUUGAAGUAAGGUUCCAAAUGGACAGCAGUGGCGCGAUGAAAACAAUGCUUUGGUGCACCGGUAAAAAUAGAGUGGAC